UACGUAGGGGGCAAGCGUUGUCCGGAAUCAUUGGGCGUAAAGCGCGUGUAGGCGGCCCGGUAAGUCCGCUGUGAAAGUCCAGGGCUCAACCCUGGAAUGCCGGUGGAUACUGUCGGGCUCGAGUCCGGAAGAGGCGAGUGGAAUUCCUGGUGUAGCGGUGGAAUGCGCAGAUAUCAGGAGGAACACCAAUAGCGAAGGCAGCUCGCUGGGACGGUACUGACGCUAAGGCGCGAAAGCGUGGGGAGCGAACAGG
rnacentral:rRNA from 1 species